UUUCAGGAUGGAAAGGAAAACCCCGUUAAGGGUGUAAGGAUACGUCGGAGCUACACGUCGUCAGCAGGUGCACAGCGCACGGAAAUCACAAUUACGAGGCGAACGAUGGCUUAGCAUAUGGUGUCUCCCGUUUAAUUCACCGACAGAGGACACGUCCGCACAAACCACAACCCCGUGAUUUUACGAGAAUAAUGUGACGAGAAAGUACCAUCUGCUGACCUCCUUUCUCCAGAGUGACUCCACUGUUUGCAUAUCGAAGCUUUUCACUCUCGUAUCAACAACAUGUCAGGGACCUACACGCCGGCUCCUGGCGGGCCUUUCUCUGCUCUCACCCCGAGCAUGUGGCCCCAGGACAUCUUGGCCAAGUACCAUCAGAAAGACCCCUCAGAACAGCCUGAAGUCCAGUACGAUGAGUUCGGCUUCAGAGUGGACCCUGAAGGUAAU